rnacentral:rRNA from 1 species
UACGGGGGGAGCAAGCGUUGUUCGGAUUUACUGGGCGUAAAGGGCGCGUAGGCGGCCACCGCAAGUCAGUUGUGAAAUCUCUGGGCUUAACCCAGAGCGGUCAGCUGAUACUGCGGGGCUAGAGUGCAGAAGGGGCAACUGGAAUUCUCGGUGUAGCGGUGAAAUGCGUAGAUAUCGAGAGGAACACCUGCGGCGAAGGCGGGUUGCUGGGCUGACACUGACGCUGACAGCGCGAAAGCUAGGGGAGCGAACGGG